UGGAGAAACUAGUCAACCAGCUUCAACAGCUUCUCGACCUGCCACUUAUGGAAAUAGCACUAGCGCACACCGUAUUUACGGCCAAAUUCCCAUCGCCUCCAAUCCUGCAAAAAAAAAAUUCGAGACUCUCACCCCCGAGGCCCCGACUCCCUCCCUCCCCUCCACUUGCUCCCAGUGCUAGGGUUGGGGCCAGCACCGCCGCCCCCGCUCCCCCAUCUCUCCGGCCGCGGUCUGGCGAGGAGCUCCUCGCCGCCCUUCCCAUCUCCCCCGGAAGCGCCACAUCUGCGUCCCACGGGCCAGGAUCCGCUGCCGGAGCCCUCCUUGUCGCCCCGCUGUCCAUGGCCCCAUAUCUUUUCGGAUGCUGUACUCGGUGGACAACCUUGAGAUUGGUAGUGUCUUUGAAUCUAAAAUAGGAUGAACUGUUGGUUCAGUUGGAGCUGUUCUCUUCUCAUGUGGGCUCGGUGCCAAGGGUGGCAUGGUAGAUGCAAGGCACUUGGAUAAAGUGUUGUUCGGUGCAGCUCAAGACAGAAUCAAUUUCAUUGGAUAAAGGAAAUGUGUCAUCUUGUAUUCAAAUUGUACUCAGAUAGAUUGCGUCGAACAGAAAAAAAAAUACAGAUUUUCUACCUCUCAGGUAGCUGAAUUUUAUUUGACUCUCAAGUCAGUUUUUUUGCCCGUC